rnacentral:rRNA from 1 species
UACAGAGGUCUCAAGCGUUGUUCGGAUUCAUUGGGCGUAAAGGGUGCGUAGCGGCGCGGUAAGUCGGGUGUGAAAUCUUGGAGCUUAACUCCGAAACUGCAUUCGAUACUGCCGUGCUUGAGGACUGGAGAGGAGACUGGAAUUUACGGUGUAGCGGUGAAGUGCGUAGAUAUCGUAAGGAAGACCAGUGGCGAAGGCGGGUCUCUGGACAGUUCCUGACGCUGAGGCACGAAGGCCAGGGGAGCAAACGGG